rnacentral:rRNA from 1 species
UAAAGAGUUCUAUAACUCCCAAACCCAUGUGAACAUACCUAACGUUGCCUCGGCAGGUCGCACCUACCUUGUAGCACCCUACCCUGUAGGGCCUACCCGGGAGGUGCGGGUAAGCCUGCCGGCGGCCCACCAAACUCUGUUUGAUAUUGAAUUCUGAACCUAUAACUAAAUAAGUUAAAACUUUCAACAACGGAUCUCUUGGUUCUGGCAUCGAUGAAGAACGCAGCGAAAUGCGAUAAGUAAUGUGAAUUGCAGAAUUCAGUGAAUCAUCGAAUCUUUGAACGCAUAUUGCGCCCAUUAGUAUUCUAGUGGGCAGGACCGUUCGAGCGUCAUUUCAACCCUUAAGCCUUCGUUGCUUAGUGUUGGGAGCCUACGGCAACGUAGCUCCUCAAAGUUAGUGGCGGAGUUGGUUCACACUCUAGACGUAGUAAUUUUUUAUCUCGCCUAUUAGUUGGACUAAUCCCCUGCCGUAAAACCCCUAAUUUAUCAAGGUUGACCUCGAAUCGGUUCAGACAAACUCGCUAAAUUGAAGCAUCUUAGUCAGCGAAGGAAAAGAAACCAACAGGGAUUGCCCUAGUAACGGCGAGUGAAGCGGCAAC